rnacentral:pre_miRNA from 1 species
GGGGGGAGCGCCGGGUCUUGGGCUGUGUCUCCGGCGCCCUGUGCUCCUGGGCCUGCGCUGUUGGAUUCACGCUCUUGGCCCCGAAGCCCCUU